UGCCCAGUAGCUCCUAUCCCUACCUCCUCGUGGUACUGGACGUGGUACGAGUAACCUUGGGGAAGAUCCCCCGUGGGAACUUUGGUCGUAUGCUGACAGGGAAGG
rnacentral:ribozyme from 1 species